UUCAGAUAUAAACUCCUCCGUUUUUUUCCGCUCCGUGUUUUCAUUUUAGUCUCUUCUCUCUAAUUUUUGAAGAUUUAAAUUUUGUUCGCAUGACUUCCUAGAUGAUUGAUGUUGCAUAAUUGAAGAAUUUCGGUUCGAAGUAACGAAACGAAUGGGUGUGUUUCCUUUUUAUAUUAUAGGAGGAAGGAGAUUUUUCAAUAAUAUGAAGUUUCGAUCGAUUAGAAUGAAUAAUGUGCGCCCUCUCAAAUUAUUAUUAAUCCUUUUGUAUGACGUCACGCAUCUUACCGGAUGAUACAAUUACCACACAUCGAUUUAGACGGUGAUUACGCGUAAGUGAUUCAAUUGUUUUCUUUUUUAUUGAUGAAAAUUUUAACCAAUGAGAGAUUGGGUUAAAGAAUAAAAAGAAGUAAUGAUAAAAGAGGCGUUAUUGUUGAUAUGUCUCCCAGGAAACGACAAUCGCAACAAAACAUUUGUUUGUAGACUUUAUAUAUCGAAACAUCACAAAAGAAAAUGAGUUGACAUAAUACUAGUUUCUAAUAAAAAGAAUAAAGUUUCGUACAAAUGAUAGCAUUUCUCCUUUUUUUUAAUUUUAGUUUCUAUUUUUAAAAUAAAUAUUGAUACAGUUGCACAAUUUUCGUUUCUGUUGGUUCAAAGACAGAACUUUUCAAACAAUGGCAGCAAUCUCAAGAGCAUAGA